rnacentral:rRNA from 1 species
UACGGGGGGGGCAAGCGUUGUUCGGAAUUACUGGGCGUAAAGGGCUCGUAGGUGGCCAACUAAGUCAUACGUGAAAUCCCUCGGCUUAACCGGGGAACUGCGUCUGAUACUGGAUGGCUUGAGUUUGGGAGAGGGAUGCGGAAUUCCAGGUGUAGCGGUGAAAUGCGUAGAUAUCUGGAGGAACACCGGUGGCGAAGGCGGCAUCCUGGACCGGCAUUGACGCUGAGGCGCGAAAGCCAGGGGAGCAAACGGG